rnacentral:rRNA from 1 species
AUACGGAGGUUGCAAGUGUUACUCGGAAUCACUGGGCGUAAAGCGCGCGCAGGCGGCUAUUUAAGUUGGAUGUGAAAGCCUACGGCUCAACCGUAGAACUGCAUCCAAAACUAUUUAGCUAGAGUGUGGGAGAGGAAGAUGGAAUUAGUUGUGUAGGGGUAAAAUCCGUAGAGAUAACUAGGAAUACCAAAAGCGAAGGCAAUCUUCUGGAACACUACUGACGCUGAGGCGCGAAAGCGUGGGGAGCAAACGGGAUUAGAUACCCUAGUAGUCC